rnacentral:misc_RNA from 1 species
GACGAACCGUGCGAACGUUGUUCGGAAUCACUGGGCUUAAAGGGUGCGUAGGCGGCUUGCCAAGUCUGGGGUGAAAUCCCCCGGCUCAACCGGGGAAUGGCCUGGGAUACUGGCGAGCUCGAAGGAGGUAGGGGCCGUGGGAACAUCCAGUGGAGCGGUGAAAUGCGGUGAUAUUGGAUGGAACGCCGGUGGCGAAAGCGCACGGCUGGAUCUCUCUUGACGCUGAGGCACGAAAGCUAGGGUAGCGAACGGG